GGAUGGCGGCAGCUACCAUGCAGUCGAGCGGUAACAGAUCCAGCUUGCUGGAUGCUGACGAGCGGCGGACGGGUGAGUAAUGCAUAGGAAUCUGCCCGAUAGUGGGGGAUAACCUGGGGAAACCCAGGCUAAUACCGCAUACGUCCUACGGGAGAAAGGGGGCUUCGGCUCCCGCUAUCGGAUGAGCCUAUGUCGGAUUAGCUAGUUGGUGAGGUAACGGCUCACCAAGGCCACGAUCCGUAGCUGGUCUGAGAGGAUGAUCAGCCACAUCGGGACUGAGACACGGCCCGAACUCCUACGGGAGGCAGCAGUGGGGAAUAUUGGACAAUGGGGGGAACCCUGAUCCAGCCAUGCCGCGUGUGUGAAGAAGGCCCUCGGGUUGUAAAGCACUUUCAGCGAGGAAGAACGCCUAGCGGUUAAUACCCGCUAGGAAAGACAUCACUCGCAGAAGAAGCACCGGCUAACUCCGUGCCAGCAGCCGCGGUAAUACGGAGGGUGCAAGCGUUAAUCGGAAUUACUGGGCGUAAAGCGCGCGUAGGUGGCUUGAUAAGCCGGUUGUGAAAGCCCCGGGCUCAACCUGGGAACGGCAUCCGGAACUGUCAAGCUAGAGUGCAGGAGAGGAAGGUAGAAUUCCCGGUGUAGCGGUGAAAUGCGUAGAGAUCGGGAGGAAUACCAGUGGCGAAGGCGGCCUUCUGGACUGACACUGACACUGAGGUGCGAAAGCGUGGGUAGCAAACAGGAUUAGUCCCC
rnacentral:rRNA from 1 species